AAAAAUUAGUAUCAAAGAUGCAGCCGUUUUGACCAUUUUAGCAGUGGUCAAAAAAGCCCAGAGUGACAGUUUUACUGUAUGGCCACUGUUCUUUUGUCUAUAGUUAACUUAAGACAUUUUUGGAAACAGUUAAAAACAGGU